rnacentral:rRNA from 1 species
GGCGAACGCUGGCGGCGUGCUUAACACAUGCAAGUCGAGCGGUAAGGCCCUUUCGGGGGUACGACGAGCGGCGAACGGGUGAGUAACACGUGGGUGACCUGCCCUUAGCUCUGGGAUAAGCCUGGGAAACUGGGUCUAAUACCGGAUAUGACUCCAUGACGCAUGUUGUGGGGUGGAAAGCCUUGUGCGGCUAGGGAUGGGCCUGCGGCCUAUCAGCUUGUUGGUGGGGUGAUGGCCUACCAAGGCGACGACGGGUAGCCGGCCUGAGAGGGCGACCGGCCACACUGGGAC